rnacentral:lncRNA from 1 species
UCUGAUCCCCUCAACAAAUAAUCUCCCAACAUUUCAAAAAAAAAAAAAUCUCCCAAACCCUAAAAAAAAUCUCCCAGGCGGGCGGCGAUUUUCCUGCCGUGGCGGUUGCCCGAGAAAAAUAUCGGGAGGCUGACGAGCGGAUGUUGAAGAAGCAGGAGCAGCCGGCGGAGGGGAGGGGGCCAAAUCAUCUCGACGCGAGUACGACCCCGUACAGAGGGAAUACACAUACACCCGCUUCUUCAACCCCAGACUCGAUCUCGAUAAGUUGUGUAAGACCCCUCCGAUUCCCCACCGAUUCUCCCGCCGUUCGUUGUUGAUUCCUGGUUGUCAUCCCGGGACGAUGAACCCGGCUUUUUUUUUCCUUUCGAGCUUUAAUUGUGAUGCGAUUUCUCAUAAGUGUUGUCUUGUUCGUCUCCACGUCGAUGCACCGAGAGAUGAAUUUUCUGGGAUGGAAAAUAGAUCGGAUUACAAUUUCUCAUCGGUUGAACUGAACAUUAUAAAAGCCUUUCAUUAUACCUGAUGACCCGCCGUUACAGGGAUAUAUGCAAAUCAAAUAGAUCUGGCAUGAUUCAUCCAUUGAUGAACUGACCAUUAAUAAUGCUAUGCUUCAGCGAACAAGUAGUUUCUGAAGAAGAGCUACUUGAAUACAAUUAGUUUCUGGAGCGGCCUCGCAGCAUGGUCGCCGGAGGGUGGGGCGAUGAACCGGAGCUGGUGCUCCUUCGUGGAAGAGGCAGAAUAUUUUGUCAGGGCUUUGACAGUAGACCAAAAACUUCAGCCACAGUAGUACUACCAUGUACUCCCUCCGUUCCAAAAUAGAUGACUCCUUGUUUUGGCAUCAUCAUUAGACAUGUAAAACGUCUCAUACAGGAUACAGCAACCACGCCCUAUAUUUACACCCGUCUGAAUCAAGUAAGCUCCCAAUACAACGCAGAAGGUUCGUAAACCACACCGUUACCUCAUCCUGUUAUGCAUUCCCUUGACUUUCCCCAAGAAUCAAGGAAAGUACAGACUCUGUUUGUACAGUAUAACAUUCCCUUAACUUUCCCAAGAAUCAGCCCGCAGCAAAAAAGGUAACAACACAUCCCUCAAAGGCAACGUUACUUUUCCAUGCCGCCUUGGUCAGUAUAACAUCUAAUUCUAAACUGAAGGUCUUCUUAGUGGCAUUUGUACAGACUCUGUUUCCUGUGGAACCAAAUAUAAAUAUAAAUAUACGGGUACCAAUUCAAGAAUAACAUGGUACACACUUAAUUAUUACUGUGCAUAAGACGGUAGCAAUAGGAAUAUAUUGGGAGAGCUACCAAACAACCUAACCACUACCAAUCAUGUUGCAACCGUCUUUAGUUCCCUUGCGUACUCUACGUUUGGGCAAGGUUAGAAGGAAUUUCUGUUCUCGUUUUCCAACAAAGAAUUUAUGUUCAUUUCAGGAGUAAACUGGAUAGCAGAAGCAUAUGACCCCUAGUUCAGCAAUUGGUAUUUAUGCACACAAGUAAGAAAAAUGAGAAGAUAAGACAAGAAAUGCAUACCCUUGCUCUAAGCACGCGAUUUAACUAUACGUGCACAUACUCUGGUUAUUGUUUCAUUCAUGCUCCUAGUCUGUUCAAUUAAUAAUUGAAGAAAAGUCAGGAUGAUCUGAGGAAAAAGGAAAAAGAGAGCUAGAAACUAAACUACUCCCUCCGUCCCAUAAUGUAAGACGUUUUUUGACACUACACUAGUGUCAAAAAACGUCUUACAUUAUGGGACGGAGGAAGUAAUAAAUAUGCUCACCGGCUUGAUCGUAAAAUAAUCAUGCAGCCACCGCCGGAUCUCAUCAAUCUUGAGAGCAAAUUUGAACUCACAAAACGUACAAAUCCAAAUUCCCAUAACUAGAUGGCUCUCAUUGAAUACAGGUGCCCCAUAACAUCCCAGUGACCCCGGCAUAUCAAACUCAAAAACUCUAAGUCAGGAGCAUACACUGGAUCCAAAUCCUUGCCAAUCACGGGGCCGCCACUGCAGUAAAGAAAGACAUGUUAUGCAUCUAGUGGAUACCUUAUACUAGAUUUCAGUUAUAAUGUUUUCCCUUUAUAUUCUAGCAAAUGCCAAAAACUCACCAGAUUUUACCAUUUAUGGUAGUGCCAAAUAAAACCUUGUCAUCUUUCUGACAAGUGGGGAAGCAGAAAAUUGAGAACACUUCUGUUGCCCUUUUGUAAAAAGACUGACCCAUCAAGUCCUCAUUGUCAAUGAAUUUAACAGGGACAUAUGACUUCUUGGGGUAAGGAACAAAUACAAGACAUAAGUCCUUCCACCAAUCAACGCAGUAUACUUCCCCCUUAGCUGAAUGCCCAUCAAGAAAGUCCACUCGUAGGAUUAUAUUCUCAUUUAGCAUCCCAACUGAAUUAAAAUCAGGGCCAGGGCGUGUGGUGAAAGCUCUCAAAGCUUUAGAGGAGCUGAGAAUUAAAAUGAACUUUUUGGAUGAGUGGAUAAUGGAACCUGUUCCGUAAGACCUCAUCGGUUUCCUCCCCUCCUUAGAGCUAUACUUCCACUGAACUUUUAAGGAAAUGACUGACUCAAGAUGCUUAUCAGCGAGUUCACACAUGAUACGAGCUGAUUUGCGGUCGUCAUCCAUGGUCAGCCACUGCCAUAUGAUUAUUCAAGCACAUCAUUAAGAUAAGUAACACUGAAAUGGAAUUAUAUAAUACAUGCAGCCAUUUUAAGUACAGUAAAGAUGAUUUCACAAGAUGUAGAAAUAAUGCUGACAUGGAAUCUGGAAUGCAUGCCUUAUAAUGUCAAUAAGAGAUAUGCAAACAUAUUUGCAUGGCAUUUCCCAUAUGAGCAAGAAAGAACAGGCAAAGGUUCAAGCAGCUGGAAAAGCUAGUGUCUACAAUCCACAAGUUUCAAUCUGAAGAGUAUAGUGCAGCAGCAAAUUGCAUAAAACAGCCAAUAUAGUUAGGCAACAAACAUGUGCAUAAAGAAAAAAAAAGGAGAAAUCCCCUGGUGUGUUCUGACCCUAACCAUUCAAUGCACCAUCAGGUAUAUGUAAAAGCAUCUCCAACUGAAUCCUAAUCGCAACCCAUUGCUGUUUUUUUAUCAGAAAGCAGAAAACCAGUCUCCAACUAACCCCAUCAGGAGAGUAUCUUCCUUAUUUCUCGGUGAAAUUUGGCUUGUUACUUCAGGAACAAAGAUACAAUACAGCUCAAAAAUAAUGUUUCAUUUCUUAUACGCGUUUUGGUUUUGGCUCGAUGUUUCAAGAUCAGAUGACUUGAACAACAAAAUAUGUUGUUAGUUAACAUGUGAAGAUUGCCCUUUUGUGAUGUUAAAAUCCAUAAUAUGCCAAGGCAUGUGAAUUAAAUAAAAUUAUCUUGAUGCUUCGUUAUUCAUGCAAAUUUCUGAUGUCUUUUCUAUUUUACAUGUCAGUGUAGUUUAUUACUAUGUUACCAUUACUAAGCAACCCUAACACACAUAGUUCACAUCUAAACGCAGAACCGUCAUGGCAUUGAGCAUUCAACAGCUGAUAUUUUUUGUGUGCUAGGUAUGCUGCAGCAACAAAGAGCUAGUCGUCGUCGUAUGACAAUGAGACAACAAAUCGAGAAAUUACAUGAGGAAGCUACGACCACGCACUGCAAGGUGGUCCCGAGACUCUUGGAGCAUGAAGAGAUAUGGAGAGGGAAUUUUUUUAAGAGGCUCUCCAUAUAAAGAUAUGGGGGUUUCUUUGGCGAUGCUCUAGCUAAAUAUUAUACAAUAUUCAUGAAGGAAAAAAUAUGCUGCGGAAUAUAACAGCAUAUGAGAUGGUAAGUUCUGUGUUUGCGGAAACAAACCAUUCCCUGCAUCAUGAUGUUGGCACGGUACUGCCAUGGUAAUAUCUCUUAGAAUUAGAAGUGUGGAUGUUAUAUGUGCAACAGAAUGCAUAGGUAGUAUUUUUAACACUUAAUGCAGAAGGAUUUCUAUAUAUGAACAAUGAGAAAUACUUUAUUGAAAGGCAGAAACCAAAAUCCAGUCUACACAAACAUAUACUGAUGCUUGGAAACUCCUAACGGCUCCGAAGCUAUUUGUCUUUUGGAAUUGCAAAAAAAAAAUUCAACUGAAAGACACAUGUAAAUAUUGCAAUAAUUAUUUGGAAUGGCAGAUUUUCCUGGAAAAAUAUACAUCUCUGCGAGCUGUGAAAAGAACAAGCACAUCGCAGCACUAGUCUCCCAUCCUCCCUUGUGUUCGUUUG